GCCGGGCGCGGUGGCGGGCGCCUGUAGUCCCAGCUACUCGGGAGGCUGAGGCAGGAGAAUAGCUUGAAUCCGGGAGGCGGAGGUUGCAGUGAGCUGAGACUGCACCACUGCCCUCCAGCCUGGGUGACAGAGCGAGACUCUGUCUCAA
rnacentral:SRP_RNA from 2 species